ACUGGCAUGGGCUAAACCAAACUGCUAAGCAACCUAAUUCAAGACCCAAUCUUCCAAAUUGAUCAGGUAAGUGAAGAUCAGUGGGGGUCCUCCCAUUGCCUUCCUAAGACAUCAAUAAAUUGGUUAGAUUGGCUAACAGAACUAAUUAAAUAAUCAUAUCUUAUUAACUUAUCUUAAACACCAAUAGAUCGAUUGACUAGAAUUGGUUAGCUCAAGCGAAUCAGACUCAAACCAACGAGCCAAAUUAGAUCCUUAGAUUAAUC
rnacentral:lncRNA from 1 species